AUUGAACGCUGGCGGCAUGCCUAACACAUGCAAGUCGAACGAGACCUUCGGGUCUAGUGGCGCACGGGUGCGUAACGCGUGGGAACCUGCCUUUAGGUUCGGAAUAACAGUGAGAAAUUACUGCUAAUACCGGAUGAUGUCUUCGGACCAAAGAUUUAUCGCCUUUAGAUGGGCCCGCGUUGGAUUAGCUAGUUGGUGGGGUAAAGGCCUACCAAGGCGACGAUCCAUAGCUGGUCUGAGAGGAUGAUCAGCCACACUGGGACUGAGACACGGCCCAGACUCCUACGGGAGGCAGCAGUGGGGAAUAUUGGACAAUGGGCGAAAGCCUGAUCCAGCAAUGCCGCGUGAGUGAUGAAGGCCUUAGGGUUGUAAAGCUCUUUACCCGAGAUGAUAAUGACAGUAUCGGGAGAAUAAGCUCCGGCUAACUCCGUG
rnacentral:rRNA from 1 species